AACGAACGCUGGCGGCAUGCCUAACACAUGCAAGUCGAACGAGACCUUCGGGUCUAGUGGCGCACGGGUGCGUAACGCGUGGGAACCUGCCUUUAGGUUCGGAAUAACUCAGAGAAAUUUGAGCUAAUACCGGAUGAUGUCUUCGGACCAAAGAUUUAUCGCCUUUAGAUGGGCCCGCGUUGGAUUAGCUAGUUGGUGGGGUAAAGGCCUACCAAGGCGACGAUCCAUAGCUGGUCUGAGAGGAUGAUCAGCCACACUGGGACUGAGACACGGCCCAGACUCCUACGGGAGGCAGCAGUGGGGAAUAUUGGACGAUGGGCGAAAGCCUGAUCCAGCAAUGCCGCGUGAGUGAGGAAGGCCUUAGGGUUGUAAAGCUCUUUUACCCGAGAUGAUAAUGACAGUAUCGGGAGAAUAAGCUCCGGCUAACUCCGUG
rnacentral:rRNA from 1 species